rnacentral:tRNA from 1 species
GAGAAGAUGGCUGAGAGGUUAAAAGCGUCAAUUUGCUAAAGAUGGCUGAGAGGUUAAAAGCGUCAAUUUGCUAAAUUGUUAUGUUACUUAACUUUAAAAAGUAAUAUCAUAGGUUCGAAUCCUAUUCUUUUCA